CUUCAGUUUCCGGCAUCUAGCCGCCGCGGACAGUGGAGCCCUGAAGGGUUGAGGCGGCGGGCGACUGCAGCCUUGCACCCAAGCCUCGGACGAGGCGUUCUCGUUUGUGUAGCAGGCGUGGAAUCCAGGAAGGGUCCAGGCAGGUCAGAGUCCUGCUCCCCUGCUUUUGAAGCCUGAACGAGACUUCCUCCAUUUUAAUCCGCCUAACAGAACCCUAAGGAAGACCUGUUCUCUUUGGCCAAAAGAUUAGAACAUGGGACUCACAGAACAGAAACGUUUUUGACAAAACUUGCGCUUCACCAACCAAACACCAUGGAUAACCCUCUGACGUCAGUGGGAACUAAGUAGGAAGUAUAGAUGCCUGUUACCCAUCUAAGGUCAUCAGAUAGCGUAAGACAUGGAGUCCAAACUUCUACUCCCGCCCAGAGGUGGCAUGGGGCAUCCUUCAUUCUCUCAGAGAGGAAGGGAGGAGGACCUUGGAGAGGAAGGAGCUCAAGAAAGGGACUCUUCAAUGCUGCAUAAGAAGUGCUUAGCAGUCACCUCAUAAAGCAAAUGUGAACUCAUAUAAUAUGACCAAACUAUAAAAUCUGAACUGCAGUGUGAGAGCCUAUGCUAUCUUCCAAGGCAGGACAGAGUGGCACUCCAAGAGCUCUGAAAACUGCAUUGUCAUGGGAAUCAGGGCACACAAAAUUAUAUCAAGACCAAUGUAAUAAACCUAACUGAGAUGAAUGUAUGUGAAAAUGGAAGAUUAAAUAGGAUCUAGAGUAUCUCAAUAUGUAAACAGUCCAGGAAAGGAUAAAAAGUAUAGAAAAAUCAUAGAUUAUGUCAGGGACCAAGAAAAUUACUAGUAGGACACAGACAGUCAUAGGAUGACUAUCCUUGAAUGACAAUCAUAAGAGGCUAUCCUUGGAACAUCUCAUACUUUGGAAUUAAAUUAUGAGAAUGUUAAGGCAACCAUCACAAACUUUUUCAAUUAAAAAUUAAAAAAAAUCUUGAAACAAAAAUAUGGAAAAUGUCAGCAAAGAAAUAGAAGGCACAAAACCAAAUGAAAACUGAAGAGUUGAAAAAUAUAAUGAAAGAAAAAACUCUGGGUGAGCUCAAUAGUAUAUUGGAGCUGGCAGAUGAUAGAAGUGGUGAAUCUGAGUUUGGAUCAAUAGAAUUUAAUAUAUCUAAACAAGACAGAGAAAAUAGAUUGGGAAAAAAUGAACAAAGCCUCAGAGACCUGUGAAAAUAUAGCAAAUAAUGUAAUAUUUAUGUCCUUGAAGUCCUCUUAACAGAAGAUCAAGUAUGUGAGGCUGAGAAAUAAUUUAAGAACUAUUAGCUGAAAAUAUCUCAAACAUGGAGAAAGGCAUAAAACGACAGAUUUUAAGCUAAGCAGAACUCAAACAGUUCUUCUGCCCUUACCCCACAGAAAGAUCACGCCAAGACACUAUAAUUGACCUUCUGAAAGCUCAAGACAAAAAAAUUUUGCAAGCAAAUAAAGAGAAAAGAACUAAAAAAGGAACUAAAGAGCCAUUGAUGAAAGUGAAAGAGAAGAGUGAGAAAGCUGGCUUAAAACUAAACAUUCAAAAAACUAAGAUCAUGGCAUCCCAUGCCAUCACUUCAUGGCAAACAGAAAGGGACAAGGUAGAAGCAGUGGCAGGUUUUGUUUUCUUGGGCUCCAAAAUCACUGCUGACAGUGACUGCAGAUAUGAAAUUAAAAGAUGCUUGCUCCUUGAAAGAAAAGUUAUGGCAAACCUAGACAGCAUAUUAAAAA